rnacentral:lncRNA from 1 species
AUUUAUUUUACUAUUAAAAAUCAGAAAAUAACUAAACUAAAAAAAACUAGAGUAAGACACAUAGUCUAAACUUAAAUCUCCACAAUCACAAAAAAAAAAAUAGAAUACUAUAGUAACACUUGCUCAGUAAAAGUCUGAAACACAAAUGAACGCGGUCAAGCACCAAUCCAAAACACCAAAAAAAGGAUUGAGAAAGAAUAAUCACCGGACCAAAGUCACCACGAAGCAGAAAAACACAUGCAUAAUGCACAACCCCCAGCUAAAAGGUAUGAAUCACCUCACAAACAAAAUAACCACAUACAAGGAGCCCAUGCCAACGAAGAACCACAAAGCUGAAUAGAAGAGACCAAAGCACCAAAAGACUAACUCCACACACCUAUACCAAAGGAAGCAGGAGAAGAAGAAAAGCAACAU